AGAUACCCAGUUAAGUUCUGAUGUCAGGUAAACAACAAAUAAUUUUUUUAGUAUAAGUAUACCCAAUAUAGUAUUUGGGACAUACUUAUACUAAAAUAUUGUUCAUUGUUUAUCUAAAAUUCAAAUUCAAAU
rnacentral:miRNA from 1 species